rnacentral:rRNA from 1 species
GAUGAACGCUGGCGGCGUGCCUAAUACAUGCAAGUCGAGCGAAUGGAUUAAGAGCUUGCUCUUAUGAAGUUAGUGGCAGACGGCUGAGUAAUGCAUUGGUACCUACCCCAAAGUGGGGGAUAGCUCAUCGAAAGAUGGGGUAAUCCCGCAUGUUACCCUCGGGUUAAAGCUUUCGCGCUUUGGGACGGGCCUUUGGCCUAUCAGUUUGUUGGUGAGGUAAUGGCUCACCAAGACUAUGACGGGUAGCUGGAUCGAGAGGUUGACCAGCCACACUGGGACUGAGACACGGCCCAGACUCCUACGGGAGGCAGCAGUAGGGAAUCUUCCGCAAUGGACGAAAGUCUGACGGAGCAACGCCGCGUGAGUGAUGAAGGCUUUCGGGUCGUAAAACUCUGUUGUUAGGGAAGAACAAGUGCUAGUUGAAUAAGCUGGCACCUUGACGGUACCUAACCAGAAAGCCACGGCUAACUACGUGCCAGCAGCCGCGGUAA